rnacentral:snoRNA from 1 species
ACUGCACACUGUUAAAGCUCAGGGUGGAGGCCAGUCUUAGCCAGUGACCUUCUGAGUGUCGGAAGUGUGCUCUAUCAAUGGCAGGAUUUUCGCUGACGCCAGCAGAGCUUGCCUCUAUGACUGGAGUUUGAUAGUACUCGCUGCCACCGAU